rnacentral:tRNA from 1 species
GGAAGGUUGUCCGAGCUGGCCGAAGGAACACGCCUGGAAAGUGUGUAGGCGUCACAAGCGUCUCAAGGGUUCGAAUCCCUUACCUUCCG